AGACCCGCCCGAAGGUUGUCUAUGGCCCUGAGACCCACCCGUAGGCUGUCUGGCCGAUGCCGAGCCUAAUGGCCCCGUGGUAGUCAUCAUCCCCACCCUAGGAAUGAGCCUGGCCCACGGCAAUCCACUUCGGCGCCCAAUCCCGCACGGCGAAUACGAAUCGCGAUGGCUAUCUCCGGAGUGCCGGCUUGUAGGGAGCGACCCUCACAAGCAUGUGCGAAUGAGCACAAUGGCAAGUAGUCAUACGUCCU
rnacentral:lncRNA from 1 species